GUUGAUAGCCUCCUAGCAAAAGGGGCUCUUAUCAAAUGUGUAUCACAAUGUAACACCCCUGUGUUCCCUGUCAAGAAGAAAACUGAAAAGGGCCAACCAGACCAAUACCGAAUGGUUCAGGACCUGUGUGCCGUUAAUGAUGUCACUGUCAAAGACAUCGUUGUUGUCCCCAAUCCGCACACCUUGUUGUCCCAGGUUCCAUCCACAGCCAAGUUCUUCACUGUGGCCGACCUCGCCAAUGCCUUUUUCAGUGUGCCCCUGUAUCCGUCCUGCCAGCAUCUCUUUGCCUUCACUCAUGACUGCCAACAGUAUACAUGGACAGUCAUGCCUCAGG